rnacentral:rRNA from 1 species
UACGUAGGGUGCAAGCGUUAAUCGGAAUUACUGGGCGUAAAGCGUGCGCAGGCGGUUUUCCAAGACAGAUGUGAAAUCCCCGGGCUCAACCUGGGAAUGGCAUUUGUGACUGGAAGGCUAGAGUGUGUCAGAGGGGGGUAGAAUUCCACGUGUAGCAGUGAAAUGCGUAGAGAUGUGGAGGAAUACCGGUGGCGAAGGCGGCAUCCUGGACCGGCAUUGACGCUGAGUGAGCGAAAGCCAGGGGGAGCAAACGGG